UACGAAGGGUGCAAGCGUUAAUCGGAAUUACUGGGCGUAAAGGGUGCGUAGGCGGUUCGUUAAGUCUGUUGUGAAAUCCCCGGGCUCAACCUGGGAAUGGCGAUGGAUACUGGCGAGCUAGAGUGUGUCAGAGGAUGGUGGAAUUCCCGGUGUAGCGGUGAAAUGCGUAGAGAUCGGAAAGAACACCAACGGCGAAAGCACUCUGCUGGGCCGACACUGACACUGAGAGACGAAAGCUAGGGGAGCGAAUGGG
rnacentral:rRNA from 1 species